CUGCUACUGAGGACCCGGAUGUAGGAUACACUGACCUGUGUCAUGAGGAGAGGUCUCACUGACCAUGAACAAGAUGAAGAAGAAGCUGCCUGAGCGGAUCCUGAAUCACAUCCUGGAGAUUCUCUACCUGCUGACGGGAGAGCGUGUGACUAACUCGCUGACAGCGAGUCACAUGACCGGGGACAAGAUGACGACAGAGAGAAUACUGACCCACACCCUGCAGAUCAUGUACCUGCUGACAGGGGAGAUGAGAUGGAAUAUGUCAUAAUAACAAAUGCAUGUCCCUGUGACCGGCUCUAUUUGUUUAUUUACAUGCAUUAAAAAAGAUUAUAAUAGAUUGUUCUGUAUAUAGGGUUUACUACCUUAUCAAAUUAAAGGUCAUGUUGUUUGUUUUUUGUUUGUUUUUUUCUUGAAGGGCAAAAAAGCAAUAAAACGUUUGUGUAUACAGUGUA